UGCGUCAUAUGAAGCUUGAACAUGCAAAUCAGAAAGUGAUAACUGAUGAGGUAGUGGGAAGUUGUAAUGGCGGAGAGCCUUGGGAGUUCCGGGGGCUGUUGCCACUCUCCGCCCUCCCCACCGCCGAUGAUUCCUUUCAUCUCCUCUAAACAGCCCCUCACUCCUUCAAACACACACAAAUUUCAAACUUGUAUUAAUGUAUGUAUGUAUGAAUGUAUAUAUACGAAGUACUCCGUAUUUUUAUUAUACCAGCGGAAACAGCAGCAGCAGAAACACUUCAACGAACAAAUCAAAGCUGAGCUAUGAUUUUACUCAAAUUCGGAGUUUUUUCAAAAAAAUUUCUGUUGAGUUUCUCAGACAGAUUGAUGGGAAGGUAGCGAGAUACCGCGAAAAUUGCAGAAUUCUUGCAUUUUGCUUAUCUUACUCACCCUAAUUUCCUGCUCUGAUGAUAACCCAGAUUUUAAUUUUGUUCAUACUCCAAUUUGACAGUUUUGAGCUCAUUUCUUUGAUUUUUUCGAUUUUGGGAGAAUUGAGGAAGAAUUUUAUGAGUGUGAAAUUGCUGGGGUGUUUUGGGGGUCGUUGCCCAGUUUUCCACUCUCUUUCUUUCUCCUUUGAUUAUAUUAUAAACAUCGAAACGAACCUCCCCCAAAUUCCAAACCCUAAACCCUAACCCUAAUUUUUGGGGAUUUUUGCUGAAUCUUGAAAAUUGUUGCAGAGGCGAUGAUGUUGAGUUUUCCUAAAUUUUGAUUUUCAAAUUCAGGCAUUGGAGUUUGGAAGGCAUUGUUCAUACGUUUCGCGACUGUAAUCUCUCUUUCAUUUUCUCUCUCUAUAAUCCUCUAUAUAAUUAUGUGGCUACUGCUUGUUGUUGUUGUUAUUGUUGUUGUUGGGCAAUGGCUUUCAAUGUCUCUUCAUGCCUGAGACUAAAAAAAUAAAAAAAAACUGAGCCUCAAUAGUUAGAUGGUCAAUGAUGGAAAUGACAACAUAAUUUAUUUUGCUGAAAAUGGCAUCUGAAUUGCAUAACUAGUAUAACCUCGGCGAAAGAAUAUGAGUUUUUGGAUUGAGGAAACCUUUAAAUAGGGGGCUCUCCAAAUACAAUUUUCUCCUUGAGUGUACAAUGCUAUGCUAUGCAAUCCCGUGCUAUUUGAUUCAGAUAAAUAUUGUCAUUGUCUGAGCCCAAAUUUACGAACUAAAUGAAGGUGGUGAGGCAGUGGGUUUUAAGGGCUGAGAGCCUUUGGGAGUUAUGGGAGCUGUUGCCUCUCUCCACCCUUCCCUGCCAUUGAUUCUUUUCAACUUUCUCUUCUGAACAGCUCCCUUUCCACACCAAAAAUGUAUAUAGAAAGCAUAAAGAAAGAAAAAAAAAUAGUCACUCUUUCACAUAUGUAUGCAUUUGUCUGCAUCUGCAUUAUUAUUAUGUGUGUGGCAGCAGCAGCAAUAGCAGGAAAUUAAGAUGAAGAGAACGUAUAUGGUUAUUUUAAGAUGAAGAGAACAUAGCCUAAGGUUAUGUUCUCUUCACCUUAUUUUUGUUGAAUCGAAAUUAUUUUUACUGAAUUGAAAUUAUUUUUACUGAAUAUUAUUUUCUAAGAUGAAGAAAGUAAGACCUAAAUUGUUAGAUGGGUUGUGAUGCAAACGACACCAAGUUUCAGUGAUUGGUAGCAUUGGAAUUGUAUACUAGUAUUUUGUUGGGGAAGAAUGUGAACUUUGUUUAGGCGGAGGUAGUAUUUAUGUGUAUUAAGCUAUUGGAUUGAGGAAACCUUCCAUCCAAAGCUCGCCAAUUUUACUUUCACCCUAGAUUGUGCAAUGCUAUGCUAUGUAUGUCCAUGCCAUUUGUGAUAGAUCUAAUUGUCAUUGUCUGAGCCCAAAGUAUUGAACUGAAAUUGAUGGUUUGUUUAUUUUCUAUAUAAGUUGAACAGAAUAGGACCUAAUAGUUGGAUGGUCAAUGAUGGGAAUGACAACAAGUUUCUGCCAAAUUUUUUUGCUGAAAAUAGCAUUGAAUUGCAUAACUAGUAUGACCUGGGCGAAGAAUAUGAACUUUUGGAUGAAGGGAGUGUGUGUAUUGAAUUUUUGGACUGAGAAAACCUUUAUACAAGGGGCUCUCCAGUUUGAUUUCUCUCCUUUAGUGUAGCUAUGCUAUGCAAUCCCGUGCUAUGUUAUUCAGAUCAAAAUUGUCAUUGUCUGAGCCCAAAUUUGCGAACUACAUGAAGGUGAUGAGGCAGUGGGUUUUAAUGGCGAAGAGCCUUUGGGAGUUCUGGUAGCUGUUGCCUCUCUCCACUCUUCCCUGCCAGUGAUUCUUUUCAACUUUCUCUUCUAAACAGCUCCCUUUCUACACCAAAAAUGCAUAUAGAAAGCAUAAAGAAAGAAAAAAAAAAAACUCUUACUCUCUCCCACAUAUGUAUGCAUUUAUAUGCAUCCAUAUUGUGAGCAGUAGCAGUAGCAAUAAGAGGAAUACUAAGAUGAAAUAAAAGAAGAGCUAUGAUGAAACUACUUUGUCAAAUUUGGAAUUCUUGAAAAAAGUAAUGGACUAUUCUCAGUCAGAUUGAUGGGAAGAUAAGAGUGGGAAAGUGCAAGCAGAGGUAGCCACGUAAUCAUGUCCCUUUGCUCCGUGUUUCUUUUGGGCUGAUCUCAUUCACCCCAAUUCAGAAAUCUGAUCAUAACCUAUUGAUUUAAUUUUAUACAAACUCCAAUUUGAAAGUUUUUGAGCUUAGUUAUUUGGUAUGUUAAUUCUGGGAGAAAUGAGGAAGAUUUUGUUGGUGGAUAUUCCUGGGGUAUGGGUAGAUAGAUAGAUAGAUAGAUAGUUAGAUAUAGAUACAAAAUGCUGCUGUUGGGAACUUUGCUUUUCAUUUCCUCCUUUUGCCUGAUACUUAAAAUAAAAAGAACCCGAGCCUCUAUUUUACAUAUAAAUUGAAAAGCUUUUAAGCCUCUUGUAUAUGUUCUUCUGAUAAGCACAGAUACUACACUUGAUCUAUAUACACAAUCCCUUUUGGAUAAGGUUGAUUUUGAGGUGAACAACAAUUUUGUUAAAGCCUUAAUCCCAUUUGGAUGGAUUUUCAAUAUGACCCAACGUAUACAUCUCCUGUGGUUGUCAGCAAAGAUCCUCUUCUUCCACUCAUCUUUUAUAAAGUGCUAUUUAAAGUGAAAACUAGCAAAUAUUAUCACUUGCAAGCUUUCAAACAUGGCUUUUUUGUAUUUGCAUGGUGUUGGGCAAAGGUUUUGCUGUUGUUUCAUAAAGCUGAAGUUGAGGUUUAUGUGGAAUACAUAAGGCAAUGGUUACUUUGUUGUGUUGGAUACUUAUUUAUACCUUGUUUCAUCUCAUUUUUAUGUUCAGUUUCAACUCAUUAAUUUUUUUAGUUUGCUGAAUUUGAUGACCUUAAGGACUUGUGUGUUGUAAUUUUCACCUUUUUUUGGAUCAAAUGGCAUUUUUCUGUCCAGUGUUUUUGGUUGGUGAAAUAAUUAAUUUCUGGGCAUUUAUUACAUGAACAUAUUUGAUUGUAUGCAUUUAAACAAAUGUUGUGAAGUUUUGUGAAGUUUUCUGUACUUAUCUUAUCUUUUUAGAAUUUGUGAGAACUUGUUUGAACUUUUUGAAUAAUACUUCGUAUAAGUUAAUGUAAUGUUGUAUUGUGUGACCAGAAAUGGCCAUUGAUUGAUUUGUGAGGUUCCAAAUCUAUGUUUGGGUAUGCUUUUUUCACUUGAAUUUGUUUCAUUUGAACUUAUUGUAGUUGUGAUUGAAAGGGUAGUUGUAUCUGAACUUUUUUCUCCAGAAAUAAACUCUUUUAAGGUGAAUAUAACAUAGCCUACGUUGGAUGGGCAAUGAUGGAAAUGACACAGGUUUCUGAAAGUGGUAUUUGGAUUGCUUAAUGGGUAUCGCCUUGGGGAAUGCAUAUGAACUAUUGUACGGAGGGAGUAUAUAUGUUUAUUGAAUUAUUGGAUUGAGGAGACCUUUAAUCAGGGAGCUCUCCAAUUUAAUUUGCUUCUGUUGCUUUGCUUUGCAAUCCCAUGCUACUUUAGGUAGACUGAAUUUUGCAUUGUCUGAGUCCAUAGGUGCAAACUUAUGUGAAUCUUGUCUCACGAGGUUUUUUAAUAUUUUUUUUUUAAUCAAUUGAGAACAUAGUGGGAUGGGCAAUGAUGGAAAUGAUGACAUCAGCCAAUUUCUUUGCUUAAGAGUGGCCUCAGAAUUGCAUGUUGGUGGUACUUUUGGUGAGGAGAAUAGAGCUUUUGUUGGAUGGGCAAUGAUGGAAAUAAUGACAGGGUUUAACCAAAUUCUUUGCUGAAAUUGCAUUUGAAUUGCAUACUGGUAUUAUCCUGGGAAGAAUGGACUUUUGGAUGGUGGUAAUAUAUACUUUCUUCGUUUUCUUUUAGUUGACACAUUUUGAGUUUGUACACGAUUCAGAUAAGUUACUUUGACUUUAUUCUGUGUGAUCUAUUUUCAAGAAAAAAAUAAUCUUGGGGCAACUUUUUAGAUUUGUCUUGAUGUAUGUAUUCUAAAUUUUUUUUUUUUGCUUAUACAUCACUUUAGAUAUUACUUAUGAAAUUAUGUGUUGGCAAACAUGCUUAAAGGAAAUGUAUCAGCUAUAAUGAUGAAAUAGAGGAAGUAUGUGUUUUAAAUUAUUGGAUUGAGGAGGCUUUUAAAAUGGGAGCUCGCAAAUUUCAUAUGUUCCCCUUGUUUGUGCAAUGCCAUAGCUGGAGUGAGGACUAGGUAUCUUUACAAAGAUCUGCAAAAGACGAAAUUCUAUUAAUGUUGAGAGUUAUAUUUGAAUCUACAACAAUUCUGACCAGAACUUGUGUAGCGCCUUGAACCAGCUUGGCCAUGAGACUUGUGUCCGAAGUUGUACUUUUUUAAUCUCACAGAACAUUGUUAUGUUGCUAUGGAAUGGUACUGAGCUUGUGAAUAACUUUCUUCAUGAUGAUCAUUUAUAUCUGUGGUAUAACUGGUAUUAAUUCUCCGCUAUUUAUUCCAUAGGUAGAAUAUCAACUUUUGAUGGAGGGAGUUAUACAUAUGUAAUUAUGUAUAUCAAUAUUUUGAUGAUUAAUCUCUAGC